AAGUUAGUUACCGAUGAGAAUUCAGAAAUUAAAUUUGUGCUGUUUACGUCAUUAGACGAGGUAACAACCUUAUUAUAAUAUAUCAGACUCUCUCAAACGUUGUCAGGUAUGCAAAGGUAAGACAAUUAUUUAGUCGUAAUAAAUCCUUCAAUUUUCUCCAACAAAUAAUAAUCCCCAGAUUGAAUUGGUAUGUACAGUGAUAGCGCAUUGUACUCAUUUCCAGCACUGCACUGCAGAAACUCGUCUGGAAAGAAAUGUAUCAUGAUUAAACGAAUUUAUCUUAUUUUAUUCGUGACGUGACGUGUUGCGCGUGACUCACGAAAUCACAUUACGUGAGAAGUUUGUCUCCCACAUGUUUCAGACCUCACCCAACGACGCUCACACGGGACCAGAUGGAAAGCGUCGUGAUACGUAACGUAAGUAAAGAUGUAACGUUUUAAGUAUACGUACGAGUAACUUAAGACGAGUGAAAGAGUUUGUUGCCGUUUACCGAUCUAUACCUUAACUGGUCCAGUUUAUAAUCCACCAAAUUAACCGUAAGAAACUGUUGAUUUUUUAUUUUUAUUUUUUUGUUUUGUAAGCAGAAAAAUCGUAUCGCGAAUAGUUUUCGUAACCGAAUCGAUUUCGAAUUACUUCAAAAUUUCGACGUUAUACGUAAACGAAAUUUUUUUUUUAUAGCGUCGUUAUAAUAACGAUGUAUAGAAUUAAUAAUCUAGUUUAUUAGAGAGAGAUUAAGGAUUAUAAUAUUCUUGACAAGCGACCUUCAUUCUAUAACGAUGAUACCGAAUCGACUAAUUCGAUUGGUGGGACGAAUAUAAUAAUUCGGCGUUAACCAAUCGGGUAAACGAAUGGAAUGAUGUCAGCAUGUCAGGUUACCGUCAGUUACAGUAGGUUCGCUUGUUUCUUUUCCAAAACGUUUGUGUUGGGAAGACGUCAAGCGUUACUUUUGCUUUGUCUGUACCAGUUUCGAUUUUAACGUUUCAUAAAAACUUGCGAGAAACGUAAAAACUUCACUCGUGUUUUUUUUUUUUUCUUCUUCUCUAAUAGUCGAAACGUCCUGUUUGUUUUUUAAAAGCUUCUGCAGAUUUUUUACUUAUUUUUAUUUUUCGAUCAUGAAGAAAAACUGCGAAUUCCCCGCUGAUGAUGUGUUUCGAAAACCUCGAUUCUAUCAGAGAAGUGUGGUGACGUCAGGUAAGUGAAAUUUUCCAAACGUUUUUAAUUAUCGAAUGUUAACAGCUGUUAUAAAUAUAGCCGAAGACCUGAGUUUUUCUUAGUUAAUUUUCAUUUAAAUAUUCUUAAAAUUAAGGACAAUGAGAAAGUAUGUACAGUAUAUGUUUAAACAGGAGAUUUUUUUCGCAAGAUUAUGACGUUGCUGUAUCGUGUAACUGUGGAAACCAUAAAAAUUCUCAAGAGAGUUUGCUUAUUGCUACUUACGGUUUAUUUUAUUCGUAUAGUUUUUCGAGGGCGAAAAAUCUGUGCUUAUCGAUCAGAUGUUUUAUUAUUAGCGGUUGUUGCCAAGUUUAGAUAGAAAAGAUGUGUGUAUAUAUAUAUAUUUUUGGUUGUUGUUGUGUUAUUUGUUAUGUCUCUAUUGAAAGAAACGACCCAAUAACAUGGUUUUUUAACAGGUAUUACUUUUAUCGUGUAUAAAGACAGAGGGGUUGAGAAGGUAGCAAGCUGUUAUUGGGAGGGAGAAGUGGAGCCUGAGGAAACCGGUUAGUUACCAGUACCGGCUGUUGACGAUUGCACCAAAGUUUUUUUUUUUUUUUUUUUUUCUCUCUCCUGUGUUACUUUUUUAUCACUUGGGCUAUUUUGCAUUUUUAUUCGUUUUUUUUCUACCAG
rnacentral:lncRNA from 1 species